rnacentral:rRNA from 1 species
UAGGGAAUAUUGGAAAUGGACGAAAGUCUGAUCUAGCAACACCGCGUGUGCGAAGAAGGCCUUCGGGUUGUAAAGCACUUUUUGGAAGGAUUAGGAAGGAAUGUACUUCCAGAAUAAGUCUCGGCUAACUACGUGCCAGCAGCCGCGGUAACACGUAGGAGGCAAACGUUAUCCGGAUUUACUGGGCGUAAAGCGCGUGUAGGUGGUUCUGUAAGUAGGGCGUGAAAGCUCCUGGCUCAACUGGGAGAGGCCGUUCUAAACUGCAGAGCUAGAGGAUGGUAGAGUGAAGUAUAAUUCCGGGUGUAGCGGUGGAAUGCGCAGAUAUCCGGAGGAACACCAGUGGCGAAAGCGGCCUCCUGGACCAUUCCUGACACUCAGACGCGAAAGCUAGGGUAGCGAACG